AGUGAACGCUGGCGGUAGGCCUAACACAUGCAAGUCGAACGGCAGCACAGUAAGAGCUUGCUCUUACGGGUGGCGAGUGGCGGACGGGUAAGGAAUACAUCGGAAUCUACUUUUUCGUGGGGGAUAACGUAGGGAAACUUACGCUAAUACCGCAUACGACCUACGGGUGAAAGCAGGGGAUCUUCGGACCUUGCGCGAUUGAAUGAGCCGAUGUCGGAUUAGCUAGUUGGCGGGGUAAAGGCCCACCAAGGCGACGAUCCGUAGCUGGUCUGAGAGGAUGAUCAGCCACACUGGAACUGAGACACGGUCCAGACUCCUACGGGAGGCAGCAGUGGGGAAUAUUGGACAAUGGGCGCAAGCCUGAUCCGGCCAUACCGCGUGGGUGAAGAAGGCCUUCGGGUUGUAAAGCCCUUUUGUUGGGAAAGAAAAGCAGCAGGUUAAUACCCCGCUGUUCUGGCGGUACCCAAAGAAUAAGCACCGGCUAACUUCGUG
rnacentral:rRNA from 1 species